UCCGCGUCCCUGGGGCGCGCGCGGGUCGGGCUGCGGGGCCGCGUCCCGGGCCCGGGUGCCCGGCGAGCAUGGAGGAGAAGUACCUGCCGGAGCUGAUGGCGGAGAAGGACUCGCUGGACCCUUCCUUCACGCACGCCCUGCGCCUGGUGAACCAAGAAAUAGAAAAGUUUCAAAAAGGAGAAGGCAAGGAUGAAGAAAAGUACAUUGACGUGGUGAUUAAUAAGAACAUGAAGCUGGGACAGAAGGUGUUGAUUCCUGUAAAACAGUUUCCUAAGUUCAACUUUGUGGGGAAACUUUUGGGUCCUCGUGGCAAUUCUCUGAAGCGUUUACAAGAAGAAACUUUGACAAAAAUGUCCAUCCUGGGAAAAGGCUCCAUGAGAGACAAGUCAAAGGAAGAAGAAUUGAGGAAAAGUGGAGAAGCAAAGUACUUCCACCUCAAUGAUGAUCUCCAUGUCCUUAUUGAAGUCUUUGCCCCACCAGCAGAAGCCUAUGCCCGGAUGGGCCAUGCCUUGGAAGAAAUCAAAAAGUUCCUCAUUCCUGACUACAAUGAUGAAAUCAGACAAGCCCAGCUCCAGGAAUUAACAUAUUUGAAUGGUGGUUCAGAAAAUGCGGAUGUCCCAGUGGUUAGGGGGAAACCCACCCUACGGACAAGAGGUGUGCCAGCCCCAGCAAUUACCAGGGGAAGAGGAGGAGUCACCGCCCGGCCAGUUGGUGUUGGUGUGCCUCGUGGCACUCCAGCUCCCAGAGGAGUGCUGUCUACCCGGGGGCCAGUGAAUCGGGGAAGAGGCCUUCUCACUCCCAGAGCAAGAGGGGUGCCCCCCACUGGGUACAGACCUCCACCACCACCCCCGACACAAGAGACCUACGGAGAGUAUGACUAUGAUGAUGGAUACAGCACUGCAUAUGAUGAGCAGAGUUAUGAUUCUUAUGAUAACAGCUACAGUGCACCAGCUCAAAGUGGUGCUGAUUACUAUGAUUAUGGACACGGACUCAGUGAGGAGACUUAUGAUUCCUAUGGGCAAGAGGAGUGGACUAACUCAAGACACAAGGCACCUUCAUCGAGGACAGCGAAGGGCAUCUACAGAGACCAGCCAUAUGGCAGAUACUGAUUGUACUGUCUGAUGUUGUGAAAUAGCCAAUCUCCACCCGUCCUGUAUACUGUUCAAAGAAAUAUCAGCUGCCUUGGAAUAUCAGAGGAACCGGUCAUGACCUGGAGCAAACCGAGGAGCUUCCCUUCUGUUUCUGGACGGUUUAGGAAUAGUCGACUCACCACCGUGCCUACUCAGUAAAGGAAUCCACUUGGAAACUUGAAAAUCGUCCUGAUUUAUUAUGAUUUUUGCACAAAUAUGUGUCCUGUUAGAUGUUUUUAACUAAAUACUAAGCUUUUUAAUUUGUAAGGGCUGUUUUUUAAAAAAAGGAAAGGAAAUCCUCAGAACCAAAGGAAAAGAAUGAUUUGUAUAGUAGUUAAUAAAGGCUGCCCUUGGAAGUCUCUCCUGCUUUCAUGUAAACACAGAAAGCCUCUUGUUCGCUCGGGAGAGCUGUGAAUAGCCGCCACCCACUGCCCAAGGCGGGAGGCCACACAGACUCCGGACUUGAAAACCAUUUGUCCAUCUCAGUUAUGAGCCAAUAAAUAUGAAAGCAUUUGGCCAAAAUCUCCUGUCACAUGAAAGGUUAAUUACAGAGGCUGGGGUAGGAAGCAGAGUGGCGGGGACAGAGAGGAGCCUAGUUUCCAAGCCUCUCUGGUUUGUUAGGGACACACAGGUUGCAGUCCCUCUGGAUGGAGUCACUCUGUAUGCGCUUUGGGCGUUCACUGGUGGGUUGUGAUUUUAAUUCAGUGCACCCCAGAGAAUCAGCUUGAUUUCCCUUGCUGGAGGCUCACUCAACAUGCUGCCUGAUCUUGGAAUUUUGAGAACAGUCUUGCGCAUUGGUACAUUGUCACUUUCUUGCCUCAAAGACCUGGCUCCUCAAGGCUUCCCCUUUUACAGUGAACCACGUUGCUACUGUUGGUUAACCACAGGACCACUUGGAAUGGUCUUUCUCUUGUUGUCUCGUGAUGCAUCCAGAAAGCAGCUUGCUGCCCCUGCAGUCUGCACCCUGAGAUUUGCUGGAGGUGCAGUUCUUCUCCUGGGAAGGCUGCCUGUUGGAAGGGGCACCGUCGCUGCCUGCAGUGAGCAGACGGAGAGGGCUGGCUCAGGAGGGCUGUGAGAGCACACAGUGCCCCUUUUGCUUGGAUUAACUUUUAAUGAAUAGGAACUUUAGGGGUGGACUGUUGUGAAUGACACCUUUUCACCUGCCCAGUCACUGAAAUGGUAUCAGCCUAUGAGAAAGCCCCUGGACUUGAAGGGCCAGUGCACCAACUGUCUGUUCCCUCCAUCUCACUCUUCAUACCUGGAUUUGGCCCCUUAUUUUACUGCCCACAUGACGUCAUUCAUUAAAAACACAUUUUUCAAGAA